UACGGAGGGGGCUAGCGUUGUUCGGAAUUACUGGGCGUAAAGCGCGCGUAGGCGGACCUGCAAGUCGGGGGUGAAAGCCCGAGGCUCAACCUCGGAACUGCCUUCGAUACUGCUGUGACUCGAGUCCGGUAGGGGAGCGUGGAAUUCCUGGUGUAGCGGUGAAAUGCGCAGAUAUCAGGAGGGAACACCCGGUGGGCGAAGGCGGGUCUCUGGGCCGAUACUGACGCUGGAGGAGCGAAAAGCGUGGGGAGCGAACAGG
rnacentral:rRNA from 1 species